rnacentral:rRNA from 1 species
UACGUAGGGUCCAAGCGUUAAUCGGAAUUACUGGGCGUAAAGCGUGCGCAGGCGGCUUUGCAAGUCAGACGUGAAAUCCCCGGGCUUAACCUGGGAAUGGCGUUUGAAACUACGGAGCUGGAGUGUGGCAGAGGGAGGUAGAAUUCCACGUGUAGCGGUGAAAUGCGUAGAUAUGUGGAGGAAUACCGAUGGCGAAGGCAGCCUCCUGGGCCAACACUGACACUGAGGAGCGAAAGCCAGGGGAGCAAACGGG